AUCGAAGUGGACGAUCGAACGAAGAGCGGAGAAGCGCGUGCGACUCCGCUCCUAUGCGCGAUCCUUUACUACGCAUGGUUUUGACCAUUCACGAAUUCUCUACGUCCAUUAUAAUUACCGAAUAUAAAAAAUAACGAUUCACGUGGUAUUCAUUGGUAAAGUUCGAAUCAAUCGGCGUUGACUUUCAAUCUGGCGAAUAUCAAAGCGCCAUCGGCGUACUAGGAGGUGGUGGUACCCCAAGGGUGGUUAGUGUACUACCUCUACUACCAUUUCCCGAUAACUACGAUUACCGCUACCACGAGUAACUAUUUCAUUCGGAUCGUCCUUGCCCGUUUACACGAGGAUCGAAAAAAGAAGAAAACAAA
rnacentral:lncRNA from 1 species